rnacentral:rRNA from 1 species
AGUGAACGCUGGCGGCGUGCUUAACACAUGCAAGUCGAACGAGAACGGAUUAUAGCUUGCUAUAAUUGUCAGCUAAGUGGCGCACGGGUGAGUAAUGUAUAGGUAAUAUGCCUCUUACUAAGGGAUAACAAUUGGAAACGAUUGCUAAUACCUUAUAUUCCUUUUUAUCAAAAGAUAAAAAGGGAAAGAUUUAUUGGUAAGAGAUUAGCCUGUAUUGUAUCAGUUAGUUGGUGGGGUAAUGGCCCACCAAGACGAUGACGCAUAACUGGUUUGAGAGGAUGAUCAGUCACACUGGAACUGAGACACGGUCCAGACUCCUACGGGAGGCAGCAGUGGGGAAUAUUGCACAAUGGACGAAAGUCUGAUGCAGCAACGCCGCGUGGAGGAUGACACAUUUCGGUGCGUAAACUCCUUUUAUAUAAGAAGAUAAUGACGGUAUUAUAUGAAUAAGCACCGGCUAACUCCGUGCCAGCAGCCGCAGUAA